UAUUAAAAAAUAGCACUUCCAUCCAUCUAUUUUAUAUUAAAAUUUAAAUUUGAGUUUAAAUCGUGAAUUAAAUUUAAUUUUUGAUUUUUGAUAUCAAAUCUAUUCAUUUAUUUUAUAUUAAAAUUUAGAUUUAAUAUUGUAGAUAUUUUCUAAUAAAAUAUAACAUAUAAAUUUACAAAAUAUUUUACUCUAAAUUUUUUAAUAAUAUGAUUUAUAAAUUUUAAUUAAUUUAAAAUAAAUUAAAAUAAU
rnacentral:lncRNA from 1 species